rnacentral:rRNA from 1 species
CGGGUGAGUAACACGUGGGUUAUCUGCCCUGGGGUGAGGAAUACCGGCGAGAAAUCGCCGACAAGACCGCAUACGCUUCGCAAGAAGCAAAGCCCCGCAAGGGGUGCCACAGGAUGAGCCUGCGGCCGAUUAGCUGGUUGGUGGGGUAACGGCCCACCAAGGCGACGAUCGGUAGCUGGUCUGAGAGGAUGAUCAGCCACACUGGGAUUGAGAACGGCCCAG